rnacentral:misc_RNA from 1 species
AAAGUCGUAACAAGGUCUCCGUAGGUGAACCUGCGGAGGGAUCAUUCACAUGAUUACUUUAUAAAACAAACUGUGAACUUUAUUUACUAUUCGUGUUUUUUAUCUUUUUAGAUAAAAACAUUGUCAUUCGAUUGAACAUAAGAUAGUUGGCUUGAUUAAUUUAUUUUAAUCUUUCUCAGCUUUGAUUUUGAUAUUACUAAACAUUUUAUCAUAUCAACCAUAAACAUAGAAACAACUCUAUGCCCUGGAUAUCUUGGUUCUC